rnacentral:rRNA from 1 species
UACGCACUCCUACGGGAGGAGCAGUGGGGAAUAUUGCACAAUGGGCGCAAGCCUGAUGCAGCCAUGCCGCGUGUAUGAAGAAGGCCUUCGGGUUGUAAAGUACUUUCAGCAGUGAGGAAGGUGGGUAUGUUAAUAGCAUAUUCAUUUGACGUUAGCUGCAGAAGAAGCACCGGCUAACUCCGUGCCAGCAGCCGCGGUAAUACGGAGGGUGCGAGCGUUAAUCGGAAUUACUGGGCGUAAAGCGCAUGCAGGUGGUUUGUUAAGUCAGAUGUGAAAGCCCGGGGCUCAACCUCGGAAUUGCAUUUGAAACUGGCAAACUAGAGUACUGUAGAGGGGGUAGAAUUUCAGGUGUAGCGGUGAAAUGCGUAGAGAUCUGAAGGAAUACCGGUGGCGAAGGCGGCCCCCUGGACAGAUACUGACACUCAGAUGCGAAAGCGUGGGGAGCAAACAGGAUUAGAUACCCUGGUAG